CCUACGGGGGGCAGCAGUGGGGAAUAUUGGACAAUGGGCGAAAGCCUGAUCCAGCCAUGCCGCGUGUGUGAAGAAGGCCUUCGGGUUGUAAAGCACUUUCAGUGGGGAAGAAAGCCUUGGGGCUAAUACCCUCGAGGAAGGACAUCACCCACAGAAGAAGCACCGGCUAACUCCGUGCCAGCAGCCGCGGUAAUACGGAGGGUGCGAGCGUUAAUCGGAAUUACUGGGCGCAAAGCGCGCGUAGGCGGUCUGAUAAGCCGGUUGUGAAAGCCCCGGGCUCAACCUGGGAACGGCAUCCGGAACUGUCAGGCUAGAGUGCAGGAGAGGAGGGUAGAAUUCCCGGUGUAGCGGUGAAAUGCGUAGAGAUCGGGAGGAAUACCAGUGGCGAAGGCGGCCUUCUGGACUGACACUGACGCUGAGGUGCGAAAGCGUGGGUAGCAAACAGGAUUAGAUACCCCGGUAGUC
rnacentral:rRNA from 1 species